CAGCAGCCGCGGGAAUACGUAGGUCCCGAGCGUUGUCCGGAUUUAUUGGGCGUAAAGCGAGCGCAGGCGGUUAGAUAAGUCUGAAGUUAAAGGCUGUGGCUUAACCAUAGUACGCUUUGGAAACUGUUUAACUUGAGUGCAAGAGGGGAGAGUGGUAUUCCAUGUGUAGCGGUGAAAUGCGUAGAUAUAUGGAGGAACACCGGUGGCGGAAGCGGCUCUCUGGCUUGUAACUGACGCUGAGGCUCGAAAGCGUGGGGAGCAAACAGGAUUAGAUACCCCAGUAGUCCCUGUCUCUUAUACA
rnacentral:rRNA from 1 species